CAACACUAACAAUUCCACAUCUAAGCGUGCAACAUUACAAUCCUCCUUUACACAUCUGUCUUCUAGCUGAUAUUUGUAAUCACACAGAUAUCCCACAAUGCGGAGAAGAUAAAGUUUCUUUAAACAAGAGAUUAUUCCUCGAUGAAUGUGACAUGUUUGAAUAUAACUGCGAUUAUAAGAAAAGCAAGUGCUCGUAAUUUUUAAUUAUUCCACAAAUUAUGUUAAAAUAUCUUACGAUGAAUGUAAACACGAAGAAAAUCAAGCUACCAAUAAACUUUCUACAUUGGUAGAGUCCGCGACAUCAUCUAUAAUGGAAGAUAAAACAGUAUCUCAAAUUUGGAGCUCUACAGAUUCAAUUCCUUUAAACUCAACAACUGUUAACAAUGAUGGUAAUCAAACAACUGUUAAAAAUAUAAAUAAUACAACUAAUAAACAACCAACACAAAAGAAGUCUACGAUAGAAAUUAAAGCAACCACAGAUAAAAUUAUUAACAAAGAAACAACUUUAUUAUAUUCAAUUGAUACGUCAGCACCUAAAUACAAUACUAAAGCUACAAAAUUAUGUACAAGAACACAAACAACUUUGUCUACAAAAACAAUCAGCGAAUCUCCAUUACAAAACGUUUCUAAUGUUCCAAGUGAAACGUCAAAUUCACAGACAUAUCCAAAUAAAAUAUCUUUUACAACAUUACAUACAACUUCAAAUGAAAUGUUUAGUACAACAAAAAUGGAAAGUACAGAAACUAUAAAACCCACUGAUAUUACUACUAAGAAAAGCA